rnacentral:rRNA from 1 species
AUGUAUGUUUAUAGCAUUAAUGCAUUGGAUCCAUAGUUAAGAAAACUUGGCCUAGAGUAGUAAUGGGAUGGGUGACCGCCUGGGAAGUUCUAGUGUUUUACAUG